UGGGGAAUUUUGGACAAUGGGCGAAAGCCUGAUCCAGCAAUGCCGCGUGUGUGAAGAAGGCCUUCGGGUUGUAAAGCACUUUUGUCCGGAAAGAAAUCCUUGGCUCUAAUACAGUCGGGGGAUGACGGUACCGGAAGAAUAAGCACCGGCUAACUACGUGCCAGCAGCCGCGGUAAUACGUAGGGUGCAAGCGUUAAUCGGAAUUACUGGGCGUAAAGCGUGCGCAGGCGGUUUGCUAAGACCGAUGUGAAAUCCCCGGGCUCAACCUGGGAGCUGCAUUGGUGACUGGCAGGCUAGAGUAUGGCAGAGGGGGGUAGAAUUCCACGUGUAGCAGUGAAAUGCGUAAAAGAGAUGUGGAGGAAUACCGAUGGCGAAGGCAGCCCCCUGGGCCAAUACUGACGCUCAUGCACGAAAAGCGUGGGGGAGCAAACAGGAUUAGAUACCCCUGGUAGUCCACGCCCUAAACGAUGUCAACUAGUUGUUGGGGGAUUCAUUUCCUUAGUAACGUAGCUAACGCGUGAAGUUGACCGCCUGGGGAAUACGGUCGCAAGAUUAAAACUCAAAUGAAUUGACGGGGUCAUAGCUGUUUCCU
rnacentral:rRNA from 1 species